CCUACGGGAGGCAGCAGUGGGGAAUAUUGCACAAUGGGCGCAAGCCUGAUGCAGCCAUGCCGCGUGUGUGAAGAAGGCCUUCGGGUUGUAAAGCACUUUCAGCGGGGAGGAGGGCGGUGAGGUUAAUAACCUCAUCGAUUGACGUUACCCGCAGAAGAAGCACCGGCUAACUCCGUGCCAGCAGCCGCGGUAAUACGGAGGGUGCAAGCGUUAAUCGGAAUUACUGGGCGUAAAGCGCACGCAGGCGGUCUGUCAAGUCGGAUGUGAAAUCCCCGGGCUCAACCUGGGAACUGCAUUCGAGACUGGCAGGCUAGAGUCUUGUAGAGGGGGGUAGAAUUCCAGGUGUAGCGGUGAAAUGCGUAGAGAUCUGGAGGAAUACCGGUGGCGAAGGCGGCCCCCUGGACAAAGACUGACGCUCAGGUGCGAAAGCGUGGGGAGCAAACAGGAUUAGAUACCCUUGUAGUC
rnacentral:rRNA from 1 species